UACGUAGGGAGCAAGCGUUGUCCGGAAUCAUUGGGCGUAAAGAGCGUGUAGGCGGUCCGGUAAGUCCGCUGUGAAAGUCGGGGGCUCAACCCUCGAAUGCCGGUGGAUACUGUCGGGCUAGAGUGCGGAAGAGGCGAGUGGAAUUCCUGGUGUAGCGGUGGAAUGCGCAGAUAUCAGGAGGAACACCAAUAGCGAAGGCAGCUCGCUGGGACGUUACUGACACUGAGGCGCGAAAGCGUGGGGAGCGAACAGG
rnacentral:rRNA from 1 species